rnacentral:rRNA from 1 species
GCGCGAAAGCGUGACGCAGCGACGCCGCGUGGGGGAUGAAGGCCCUCGGGUCGUAAACCCCUUCGGCAGGGACGAAGCGAGAGUGACGGUACCUGCAAGAAGAAGUCCCGGCUAACUACGUGCCAGCAGCCGCGGUAACACGUAGGGGACGAGCGUUGUCCGGAUUCAUUGGGCGUAAAGCGCGCGUAGGCGGUCGUGCAAGUCGGUUGUGAAAUCCCGGGGCUCAACCCCGGGACUGCGUCCGAUACUGUGCGACUGGAGGCAGGUAGGGGAGAUCGGAAUUCCUGGUGUAGCGGUGAAAUGCGCAGAUAUCAGGAGGAACACCGGUGGCGAAGGCGGAUCUCUGGGCCUUGCCUGACGCUGAGGCGCGAAAGCUAGGGGAGCGAACAGGAUUAGAUACCCUGGUAGUCCUAGCCGUAAACGUUGGGUGCUAGGUGUGGGCGGACAUCGACCCCGUCCGUGCCGAAGCUAACGCAUUAAGCACCCCGCCUGGGGAGUACGGCCGCAAGGCUA